rnacentral:tRNA from 1 species
GGGCCCGUAGUCUAGCGGCAGGAUGUCGGGCUCCAGACCCGAUGACCGGGGUUCGAAUCCCCGCGGGCCCA